UAAAAUUUGUCAUUCAAGAAUAGAUUUUUGCUAUCUAUGUGAAAAAAGUAAUCCUCUGCUUUAUGUUAUUGAAGUGUUUUAAAGGACUUUUUACUGGGUCCUUUGGAGUAUUUUAUUGCAGUGGAAUUUUUGGCUAUAAGUUUCAUAAAACCAGUACAUAAAUUAUUUCUGGGGUCCUAUUGUGGACACAGCUUGAUGCUUAUCCCCUAGAAACCCAGAUUCCAAUGUGCUUUCUCUGGAAGCAACCAAAACCUAUGUCUCUCUGUUAGAGGACUGUCCUCAAACUGCCUCAGCAGGAAAAACAGAAAUUCCUGGGAAUUUGCAUUCUUCUGGAGCCACCCUUAGUUAACAAUGACUGAUUGGUAUGGGUUGAAAGUUGAGAACCUUUCUUACCCCAUCCAUCAGGAACACGCUGGAACACUCUGAAGUGUUCUGCACAGGUUCCAGAAAUUCUCUGCAGGACUGAGCCAGUUACUCUCCACAGGACUACUUCAUACAGCACCUCUGCUGGACUGCCUUCCCUUCCUCUCCCUUCCCUGUCCCAUGCCCACUGUGACCAUCCUUCCUAGAGACACUUCCUAAGGAGUCAUUUUCACUCACAUGAUCAUCUCAGGGUUUGCUUUUAUGGAAGCCAUCCUAAGAGCCCUUGCAGCCUCUCAGAAGACAGGCAUUGUUAAAUAACCACAUCCUACAUAUUUUGCUCUGUCGUUGCUCUGUUAAUUUGAUGCUGCCACGCAAACAAAUAUUUCUUCAUCUUUCUCCAGUGCCAAACGUAACGGAAGUAACAGAGGAUGCUGUGUUGGGAUGUGCACAAUGUGACUUCACAUCUUGGCUAUCACCCUAAAACAUGGUCAGUAGGACUACACCAUGCCUAAAACUGGACAGAAGCUAUACUACCAAGUGAGAAGCAUACUUAGAAGAGGCCAUUCAUCUCACAGAUCACCCAACAGGAACACAUCUGACCAGAGAGAAGAUGAACCUUGGGGUUGGAGAAAGUAAGACACCCAGCUUCUUGGAACCACGUUGUCUGUGACAGAGCUGAGCUCCUGUGGUUCCCGCACAGACUGAUAAUGGCCUACCAGGGUUGAGCUACCAGAACAGCAUCAUGGACAACAUGGGAAGAGACCUGCCACUACUGAGGUCUCUCUAAGUUGCCUAGAAUGGCCUCAAAUUCAGGAUCCUCUUGCCUCCGCUUCCUGAGUCUCUGGGAUUACAGCAAAACAGAGUGGUCGAGAGGCCUAAAAGUAUAGCCCAACUUCACUGGUUCUAAGCUAUCUUUAAGCAAGUUCCCUCCCUCACUAGACAGGGGUAAUAAUGGCAUCUUCUUUGUGGACUUGUGCACAGGAUUGAAGAUAUAAUUCAUGGUCUAAAGUGUCGGAUUUUGUGAGGAGUUCCUAUUCUUUAUGUUUGCUGAGGCUGAUAAUAGACCUAAUACCUGGAAAAAGGAGGAAGCCUCAAGCAGCUAAAUCCCCAAAUAGAAAAUGCUCAGUUGAUUAGUGGAAAAUACAGAUUCCCUGGUCAAUGAACCAUAAUCAGCAUGUAAUUUUUCAUUACAUAGAAUUUAAAUGAGGGACAAAAGUGGAAAUAAACUGAAGUUUUCAUCUAAUAUGUAAGAAAAGCCCUUUCUUGUUAUAUUGUAUAAAGGUGCAGAUAUGAUGGCGAAUCUCACUGUUAUGUAUGAUUAUGGUGCACCAAUAAAAAGAUCCUGAAAAACAAACAAGACAAAGAAAAGCCCUUUAUUUCUGGUUAAAAUAAAGAUUUCUGAAGCAUAAAGCUUUUCAAAAAGGGAUAUAUCUUAAGUGGAGGUCAAGAUACAGUAAUAGUUUUCUUUACUUUUUAGGUUUUAUUGUUUUGUCAUAAGAUUAUCCCUGGGGGAGGAAGAGCAUGAGAAGAAGAUUAACAUUAAACAGGGACGAGAGGUGGGAGGGAAAGGGAGAGAGAAGGGAAAUUGCAUGGAAA